rnacentral:rRNA from 1 species
GGGUGAGUAACACGUGGAUAACCUACCUAUAAGACUGGGAUAACUUCGGGAAACCGGAGCUAAUACCGGAUAAUAUAUUGAACCGCAUGGUUCAAUAGUGAAAGACGGUUUUGCUGUCACUUAUAGAUGGAUCCGCGCCGCAUUAGCUAGUUGGUAAGGUAACGGCUUACCAAGGCAACGAUGCGUAGCCGACCUGAGAGGGUGAUCGGCCACACUGGAACUGAGACACGGUCCAGACUCCUACGGGAGGCAGCAGUAGGGAAUCUUCCGCAAUGGGCGAAAGCCUGACGGAGGAACGCCGCGUGAGUGAUGAAGGUCUUCGGAUCGUAAAACUCUGUUAUUAGGGAAGAACAAAUGUGUAAGUAACUAUGCACGUCUUGACGGUACCUAAUCAGAAAGCCACGGCUAACUACGUGCCAGCAGCCGCGGUAAUACGUAGGUGGCAAGCGUUAUCCGGAAUUAUUGGGCGUAAAGCGCGCGUAGGCCGGUUUUUUUAAGUCUGAUGUGAAAGCCCACGGCUCAACCGUGGAGGGGUCAUUGGAAACUGGAAAACUUGAGUGCAGAAGAGGAAAGUGGAAUUCCAUGUGUAGCGGUGAAAUGCGCAGAGAUAUGGAGGAACACCAGUGGCGAAGGCGACUUUCUGGUCUGUAACUGACGCUGAUGUGCGAAAGCGUGGGGAUCAAACAGGAUUAGAUACCCUGGUAGUCCACGCCGUAAACGAUGAGUGCUAAGUGUUAGGGGGUUUCCGCCCCUUAGUGCUGCAGCUAACGCAUUAAGCACUCCGCCUGGGGAGUACGACCGCAAGGUUGAAACUCAAAGGAAUUGACGGGGACCCGCACAAGCGGUGGAGCAUGUGGUUUAAUUCGAAGCAACGCGAAGAACCUUACCAAAUCUUGACAUCCUCUGACCCCUCUAGAGAUAGAGUUUUCCCCUUCGGGGGACAGAGUGACAGGUGGUGCAUGGUUGUCGUCAGCUCGUGUCGUGAGAUGUUGGGUUAAGUCCCGCAACGAGCGCAACCCUUAAGCUUAGUUGCCAUCAUUAAGUUGGGCACUCUAAGUUGACUGCCGGUGACAAACCGGAGGAAGGUGGGGAUGACGUCAAAUCAUCAUGCCCCUUAUGAUUUGGGCUACACACGUGCUACAAUGGACAAUACAAAGGGCAGCGAAACCGCGAGGUCAAGCAAAUCCCAUAAAGUUGUUCUCAGUUCGGGAUUGUAGUCUGCAACUCGACUAUAUGAAGCUGGAAUCGCUAGAAUCGUAGAU